rnacentral:rRNA from 1 species
UACGUAGGGGGCAAGCGUUGUCCGGAUUUAUUGGGCGUAAAGAGCGUGUAGGCGGCUAGGUAGGUCCGUUGUGAAAACUCGGAGGCUCAACCUCGAGACGCCGAUGGAAACCAUCUGGACUAGAGUCCGGAAGAGGAGAGUGGAAUUCCUGGUGUAGCGGUGAAAUGCGCAGAUAUCAGGAAGAACACCCGUGGCGAAAGCGGCUCUCUGGAACGGUACUGACGCUGAGACGCGAAAGCGUGGG